GGGGGUGUAGCUCAAUUGGUUAGAGCGCUGGCCUGUCACGCCAGAGGUCGCGGGUUCGAGUCCCGUCACUCCCGCCA
rnacentral:tRNA from 2 species